rnacentral:rRNA from 1 species
CGACCGCUGGCGGCGUGCCUAAUACAUGCAAGUUGAGCGCUGAAGGUUGGUACUUGUACCAACUGGAUGAGCAGCGAACGGGUGAGUAACGCGUGGGGAAUCUGCCUUUGAGCGGGGGACAACAUUUGGAAACGAAUGCUAAUACCGCAUAAAAACUUUAAACACAAGUUUUAAGUUUGAAAGAUGCAAUUGCAUCACUCAAAGAUGAUCCCGCGUUGUAUUAGCUAGUUGGUGAGGUAAAGGCUCACCAAGGCGAUGAUACAUAGCCGACCUGAGAGGGUGAUCGGCCACAUUGGGACUGAGACACGGCCCAAACUCCUACGGGAGGCAGCAGUAGGGAAUCUUCGGCAAUGGACGAAAGUCUGACCGAGCAACGCCGCGUGAGUGAAGAAGGUUUUCGGAUCGUAAAACUCUGUUGGUAGAGAAGAACGUUGGUGAGAGUGGAAAGCUCAUCAAGUGACGGUAACUACCCAGAAAGGGACGGCUAACUACGUG